rnacentral:sRNA from 1 species
GCACUUGCAGCACUCUGGUUCUGCCUAAUUGGCCUAAUAUGCCAAGCCCUGUGCUCUGAAGACAGCCACAAGAGAAGGAUCCUUACUCUGGGCCUGGGAUUUCUCGUUAUCCCAUUUCUCCCCGCAAGUAACCUGUUCUUCCGAGUGGGCUUCGUGGUCGCGGAGCGUGUCCUCUACCUCCCCAGCGUUGGGUACUGUGUGCUGCUGACUUUUGGAUUCGGAGCCCUGAGCAAACAUACCAAGAAAAAGGUAUCAACCGAGAGUGGUGCCAGUUGAUGAACAAAAUGACCGGACGCAUCUCACCGGUGACAUUUACCAUGUCUUUCUGUUCUUAAGAAACUCAUUGCCGCUGUUGUGUUGGGGAUCUUAUUCAUCAACAUGCUGAGAUGUGUGGUGCGCAGCGGCGAGUGGCGAAGUGAGGAACAGCUUUUCAGAAGUGCUCUGUCUGUGUGUCCCCUCAAUGCUAAGGUUCACUACAACAUUGGCAAAAACUUGGCUGAUAAAGGCAACCAGACAGCCGCCAUCAGAUACUACCGGGAAGCUGUAAGAUUAAAUCCCAAGUAUGUUCAUGCCAUGAAUAAUCUUGGGAAUAUCUUAAAAGAAAGGAAUGAGCUACAGGAAGCUGAGGAGCUGCUGUCUUUGGCUGUUCAAAUACAGCCAGACUUUGCUGCUGCGUGGAUGAAUCUAGGCAUAGUGCAGAACAGCCUGAAACGGUUUGAAGCGGCAGAGCAAAGUUACCGGACGGCAAUUAAACACAGAAGGAAAUACCCAGAUUGUUACUACAACCUUGGGCGUCUG